CUUUUUUGGGCCACACGCCCACGCACGAUCCAAUCCGCGGGCAGAGGAUACCGGCGCGGCGGCGCGGCGGGCCGGCGGCGGCGGGGGAAGGAUCUCGGCCGGCAAACCGCGCGGCCGUUCUACUCCUCCGGGAAUAUGGAGCCGAAGCGCCCAGGUCAGCUUCGUCACCUCCUCCCCACCCCCGCUGCCGCGGCGGUGGCCCCCGCUCGCGGAUGCCGCGUUGCGGCGUCAUCACGGCAUCACGCCGGACUCCGGCCUCUCCUGCCGUACGCCGACCACCUCCCAUCUCCCUUGGUGAGGAAGGAAAAAGACUCAGGCAGUCAGACUGAACAAUGAGCUUAUGAGAAUGCUAGAAAUCGACGAACUCAAGACAGUUUUUGGGAUCCAUCACAAAGUGUUCAUCCCUAUCCUGGAUACAUUUGAUUCGAAGCAUCUAAACACGGUGAACUGUUAUGCAACGCCACGAGCAGCUGAACUGGGGAACUGAAUUUGGCUGCUGGCUUUAGAUCUCCCCGUCCCAGAAAUCCUCCAGCGACUUGUAAAAGCUCGUCGGAUGGGUCAAGAAUUCGUACUUGAAAAGCCUAACCUGCAUGUUGCAAACAGAACGUACAGCUCAGGAAAAAUCUUUAGAGUAUCAGGCUUUCAGCAAGUAAUUUGUCAAAAUAUGGAGCCAUGCCUGUUGAAUCUCGUAGAACUUUGCCAUCAGUUCUUCAGGGAUGCACCAGUCAAAUAUGUCAAUGUUCUCCCUUGUCCACACCUCAUUGUCGCUCUUUGGGAGCACGCUCUGUCCCAUCUGAAUACCCCAGCGAAGAGCAACCUGAGCAGGACUUUUCUGCAGCUUCUUGGCAAUGGAAAUCACAGUAGGAUGGCUCAGAACGUUUGGUCCAUCGUUCCCUGGUGAUCCGGGUGAACCUAAUGGUGCAUAUGCCUGCAAGAAUAGCAUGAAAACAAAUCAGAGUGAAGUAAAUGAUUAAUAUGCUGAGUUGCUGACCAAAGUUGGAAAGAAAUGGAAAGUAAACAGUGAGAGGAUCAUAGGAACGUCUUAAUACAGUUCGAACUUACAGAAAGAUGAACGCCCUUGGAUUGGCAGAGCUUCCGGAGCUUGCCUUGCUGCCAAACCGGAUGGCACUCCACCUGGUUGACCGCUGGAGGCACGCGAGCAACAUUGAGCAAGUCCUCCAGCUUCUUGCAUGAAAAAUUGCUCACGCCAAUGGCACGAGCUUUGCCUGAAUCAUACAACUUCUCCAUUGCUUGCCAUGUAGCUGGGAUAUCAGGCUUGAGGUAAUUUUCCACACUCAAUUUAGUACCUUUCUUGGCACGAACUGGACCGUGGACCUGUGACGUGAUAAAUUGUAGGAGAGAUUAAAGAUUGUCACAAUGGAUUAGGAAUUCCUGUUACAAAGAGUAAGAAGAACCCAUGGCACAAAUGCAAAUACUAUUUAUAACUGAAUAGUUUUCUUUUUACAAGAAGUAUAGGCUUAGGAUAUUUUACUAGGUACAAAUCUAAGUAGUAAAGCUGCAGAUCCUUUAAUGUGGUAUUAAUCGCCUCUGGCACAUCUUCUGGAGCAUGGUGUGUGCACCUGAAAAUUUUGGAACAUUUUCUUACAGUGAAUUGACUUCAUUAAUCGUUUUAUAUAAGAAAAAAUAUGCAAUACGAAAGGUAGUAUAGUUUUACAACCUACCACAGUUUAGAUGUGAUGAAUAAAUCUUCACGCUUAACCGCACCUUCGUCAAAUAAUUUCUUCAGUGCCAAACCAACCUCCAAAAGCGGACGCAACUUUUGCCUACUUUUAACUCUAGAGGGAUGAGUAUUUGACAGUGAAGAAAUGUAGUUGAAUCACUCUUAAAACCUUAAACUGCAAGGCUCUGACACCAACUGCGUGAUAUUACUUUGUCAUUCUUAGUGCAACAUUUGUCAAACUAUUAUUGGAAUCAACCGCAAACGGUGUAUAAGAAAUAUAAAGUUACUACGUAUUUCAGAUAUCCUUGCAUUUCAGUUUAAGCUUAUAUAAAAUAGAAGCAUGAAGGUUUCAGGAGCAACUUACCUCUUUCUGAUUACCAUACUGUGGAGAACAGUCAAUAUGACGAUAUCCAACCUGCACCAGUACAAGAAGAUAACAUUUACAUCCAAACAGAGGUAAGGACCAGAUGAGAACUGUUCAUAUUUUCUUCAAAAGAAGUUGAAAAAUGUCAUCAUUUCAGGUAUUAAUUAACCUUUUUUGGGUUAACUGAGCAAAUGAAUGAACAGAAAAAUCCAGUCGAUCGACAUGAUUGUUAUACGCAGGUGGGUGCAGCAUGAGUAACAACGAAAUAGAAGAUAAUAAGACUAUCGCCUAUAUUGAUUGUUAAUCAUCAAGAAGAAAUGAAAAGACCUGGACAGCAGCGCGGAUGGCAUCUUGAACAGCACCUGGUGAAAUUUGCCAGGUGCCAAGACCGACUGAUGGGAUCGCCGCGUUGGUGUUUAGGACAAAGGAUUCAGCCAUAUUCACUCCAAAGAUCAAACUGUCCUUGGUUUCCAAGCUUCCUCUUCUUGUGUCGAUGGAAUCCAACAGAGAGCGAACUUGAGCUUACCUGGUGUCUGAGCAAGAAGAUCUGAGCACUAAUGGUAGGUAGCCAAGGUAUGCAGCGGUUGAAAUGAGCCCGGUGAUCACCAGUAGUAUACUCUAAAAUAAGAGCUUCCAGAAUCCAUUUAAUAAUACAUAAUUGACCACUCUAGAUGAGACUUAGAGAAACCUGCAACUGACGAAGCUAAUGCAAUUUGAAAUAGAGAAAUCGCAUCUUGGCAAUUGAUCUGCCAAAGAGAAGGCAAUAGGCAAGCAUCACAGCUCAAGUAAUUUAUUUUAAGGGUGAGUCAAGUCAAUUUAUAUUUCAGAAAGACUUUCGAAACAAGUUUAACUAGAAAUAUUAGCUGCUGAAGUCAUACAACAAAAUCAAGAUGCUGACUAACUACUUACUGGCAGCAUUUAAAAAUCAUUGUACACUUGAGAGAAAACAUCUUAUGUCACUGAAAUUUUACUUGUCCCAAAUAUGCUACUCAUAUCGCAAACUCAUGCCCAUUUAUGCCAUCAGAGAUGCAGCGGCCAAGUUAUCUAUUAUCUAGUAAACACUUAUGCCAUCAGGUGACAAUUCUAACACUGCCAAUGCUUCUUCCCCAAUGAACUCGCCUUCACUUGUUCAAUGGCAGUGGCGGGCAGGUUGUGCUGCUGGUGCGGGGUCCGUGAGCUGCUGGACACUGCCCGGUGAUGUCCUGUCCCCGGCAGGUGAGGGGCCUGGCUAGCUGGUACCGCAGAAGAUGGUGAGAGGCUGAGACCUCAGAUCAGAGUGGCGAACUGGAGUGCUGACCUGAUGCCAUCGCCUGGCGGGGACUCGUUGAGGUUACUAAGGAACUGAGCGAGUGAGCAGAAGAAAGCAGACGUCAAACUACAUCCAAAAUCUGUGAUAAAGCCUUCUUUUAAACAAAUGUCCAAAUUACUGAUAAUUUUGCCGGUAAAGAUUCUGGAUUCCGGUUCUUGUAAAAAUACACGCCAGUACCAGCAAAAUGGUAGCUGUAGACUUAAACUCCUUUUAUUCAUUCAUUGAUUAACAUUUCCCCACUUUAUUUGCAGCAAUGGCAGUUUCCAGUUUUUCACCCACACGAAGAAAGCAAACUUCAGUCCAGCCAAGUCGAUCAUUAGAUUUCGCCAUCCCAAAGCUCUUCGAUUGAUUUGUAGACGCCUUCCGGGUGAGUCCAGAAUUCUCCACGGAUCAGCUUCAUCUGCAAAUCAAAAUCGCCAUUCAUGAGAACCAUCACCAAUUCACCAUCUUGCCCAAAAAAAAAAGACCCAACAAGAACAGAGUUUCAGAGCGUCUGCUGCUGAAGCUGACUCCGGCCUUGCCUGCUCGAUUUCAGAGAGCUUGAUGAACAGGUCCUCCGGGAUGGACCAGUCAUAGACGUCAAUGUUCUCCUUGAUCCUCUCCUCGUGGGUGCUCUUCGGGAGCACGCUGUGCCCCAUCUGAAUCCCCCACCGUAGAGCCACCUGCGCCGGCGUCUUCCCCAGCUUCUCCGCCGUGGAGACGACCACCGGGUGCGCGAGCACAUUGCCCACCGCUUUCACCGACGCUGUCCCCGGCGAGCCCAACGGCGAGUACGCCUGCAGUGACGCAUGACAAAGAAGAAGAUUUGAAGCACAUCACUAGGAUAAUGCACUGAAGGAGAAGUUCAGAGUUGGGUGAUAUCCUGUUCAGAAUAGCUUCAGCUGUUCAGCAUCAGGCAGGAUAUCCUAUUCAACCAAAAUCCCGGAGGGAGUAUCUGAGAAUAAAGGGAGCGGUAGUUUGCAGUGCUGAGCAACAUACUGAGAGGUGGAUUCCUUUGGAGGUGCAGAACUUGCGGAGCUUGGUCUGCUGCCACACCGGGUGGCACUCCACCUGGUCGACGGCCGGCGGCACGCGUGCGACGGCGAGCAGGUCCUCCAGCUUCUUGCUCGAGAAGUUGCUGACGCCGAUGGCGCGAGCCUUGCCGGAGUCGUGGAGCUUCUCCAUCGCCGCCCACGUCGCCGGGAUAUCGGUCGGGAGGACGUUUU